UCCACCGCCAAAAGCCUCCAACUCGAAUUCCCUCCCUCUUCUCUCACGGCCGAGUGCAAUCGGCUCCGUCGCUGCGUCUCAGUUUAGGAGAGGUUGUUUUCCUUUAUGUUUGCUUUUUGUUUCCAUUCCACACACUGAUUUGCCUCAGGUCUCUGAGUUCGUCGCCAGAGUUCUUGAUGUUCGGGGGUUUGUCUGCUGCUCCCAUCUCCUUGCUCCAGAUCUGCAUUUGGCCUGUGUAGUUCUAUCGAUAACCUUUUGGCAAGGCUGUGUGUGGUUUUUCCUAUGGUUUGUCGUAUAAAGUGGGCGUUCGGAUUCAAGUCCGGUAACUCAACUCGAAGGCGACUGAUUCUCGCCCUUCGUGGGCCUUUUAUGCCCUCGUGGCUUUAUCUCAUGCGCUUCUUUUGUUGGAAGUGGUGGGCGCUCCUGGUACUUCAAUGGCUUCGGGGCCUAUCACUCUUUUUCCAGUGGAGGUUGCAGCUUCUCCCACCAUGCGUGGAUGAACUAGUUUUGGGUUUGGACUAUCCGAGGUUCUGGUAAAGGGCCUUGAUUGUCGAAAAUCCCGUGUUCGGGUUCAAGCUGCAAGGCUGGUUACAAUCAUGUUCUUCUCUUUUCAUUUCCUGUUGUAUUCAUGUUUUUUCUUAUUCUGUUGUUUUCUUUACUUUGUUGUGUCUUUACAUAUUUCCUUGCUGAAAUCUGAUGGAUUGUUCAUUCCUGUUGGAUAUAAUCUCAAACUCGUUGUACUUCCUUUUUUAGUGAAUGAAGUAAUCUUUAAUAAAUAAAUAAAUAAAGAAGAAAAGCAUGUUAAUUAUUUUUAAACAGAGCAAAAUACAGUUGGGUUAGAUUGGCCAACCUCCUUCCAUUUUAAACAAAAUUCAUGGAUCCUCCGCACGGUUACAGACCUCUGAUGCCGUGGUUACUCCACCAUCCCCACCACCACCCCUUAAUAAUCCACCCUCACCGCCACCACCACCACCACGUUCGACCCAAUUUCACAUCCUUCCCUCAAAACUGACAACAAGCUAUUCCCAUUCCUUUCCCAAACCAAUCAAAUCCCCAAACCAAUUUCACAUCCGAUUACAAUCCUAACCCACAGUAAGUAGCUUCAAACUUCUGAUAAAGACGAAUGGUUUGUUUCAAGCAGGAUAUUUCAGGCGCAGAAUCAUGAAGAUGUUGCGUUAGAAGAGGAAGAGGAUGAUGACCCAAUUUUUGUCUUAACAGAUGAAUGGAAAGAGUUUUUCGCAAAAUCUGAAGCCAAGAGGAAACUAGAGAGGAAGCUGACCAAAAAGGGAAAGAACUCAAAGUAGUGUCUCAAGAAGAGUGAAGUGAAAUCCUUUUUAAGGUUACGAUGGGUUAUGAGUUGAAUUGGCAUAUUUGGUGAUAUAUGUUUGACUCUGGUAUGGUGAUAUCAGUUUGACUGUGAUCCCAUGUUACUAUGUUAGGAUCAGUAUUUUUUGUAGACAUUUUCAUUGUGGUGUGGAAAUGAUAGAUUGAAAUGUACUCGAGUGCAUUGCAUUUUCCCAGCUAAAGGAUCGUAAUCAAUCAACAUGAGUGUUGUUCAACAUGGUAGUUUAACUAUUGAUAUACAUUUAUAGUUAGAACUUGUAGUAUUACUGAGAUUACAAGUAUUUUACUGCCAUGUAAUAGGUUUCAGUAGUUUUCUUAAUUAGCUAGCAUGAAACUUCGGGGAUCAUUCUGUGUUUUCUAGACAAUGCUAAUAUCUUCAUUGAUUUGUUCUUCA